rnacentral:pre_miRNA from 1 species
UCCGUCUUAUUUGAAAAAAUUAUGAAAAAAAUUAAAAAGACAAGUCACGCAUAAAAUAUUAAUCAUGUUUUAUCAUCUAACAAUAAUAAAAAUACGAAUUAUAAAAAAAAUCAUAUAAGACGGACAGUCAAAAUUGGACACGGAAACCUAGGGUUUGCCUUUUU